GACGAGGGGUCCAAGCGUUGUUCGGAAUCAUUGGGCGUAAAGCGGGUGUAGGUGGCUCUAUAAGUCAGAAGUGAAAGCCCCGGGCUUAACCCGGGAAGUGCUUUUGAUACUGCAGAGCUUGAAUGUGGGAGAGGGUAGUGGAAUCCAGGUGUAGUGGUGAAAUACGUAGAUAUCUGGAGGAACACCCGUGGCGAAGGCGGCA
rnacentral:rRNA from 1 species